rnacentral:rRNA from 1 species
UACGGAGGGUGCGAGCGUUAUCCGGAAUUACUGGGUUUAAAGGGUGCGUAGGCGGCUUGUUAAGUCAGGAGUGAAAGUUUGCGGCUCAACCGUAAAAUUGCUUUUGAUACUGGCAGGCUAGAAUUAGGAUGAGGUUAGCGGAAUGUGGCAUGUAGCGGUGAAAUGCAUAGAUAUGCCAUAGAACACCAAUUGCGAAGGCAGCUGGCUAGGCCUAUAUUGACGCUGAGGCACGAAAGCGUGGGGAGCGAACAGG